ensembl:lncRNA
CCCUUCCAUCAUAGCAGGUCUGGGAAAGCCAGGAAAAGACUGUCUACCCCAGCAAUAAAGCAUUUGUGUUCUCUGCAGCUAGAUAAUUGAAGACGAAACACCAACAGGCAUAUUGCUAUAUCAAUAAUGCACUGUCCUUCACCAACAAAAGGCACAGCUACUGACCCACCUCUAGUAAAAUACAGGCCUUGAAUUGUGUCUCCAGUGGUGAGAAGAGAGAGAUCCAUGAACCGAGCAGCAGAUUAUGCCUGGAAAGAGGAUCGUUAUGGUUCUGACCAUUUUUUGAGGCCACAGGAAGGGAGCAAUCAACUUAAGAGUAGGACCUGAGGCAAAUAAAAACAUGUGUAUAAGCAGUCCCCUGCAGACACAGGCAGCCUUGGCAGCAAUGCAGAUAAGGCAGGAAAGUAUUACUUCCAGGCCACCUGCUCUAGUCCUGUAUUUGCAUACUAUUGGAAGUAACAUGGUUUUGUGCCCAUUGGAUAUAUUUACACCUCUUUCUGCCUUUUGCUGCAUGAGUCACUGAAUACUUUCAGCCUCCUGUUUUCUAUGAACAGCCACUGAGAAAUCUCCCUCCCUCAAAACAAUUCAAAAGAUUCAACUGACUAUAUCAUCCCCUAGAAAUGACUGACUGACAGUGGUGGCUGAGCCCACAGUGGCACCCGACUUUUCUGGGUAUGUCCUUCAGUCACUGGAAAGCAUCUUACUGAGUUGUGUCUUUUCAAUUUUAGAACCACAUAUACUAUAGUUACUGUCUUUACAAAGACAACUGGUCCUCAAUUCUACCACAAACUUGCAUUUCAUUAUACUUGAGAACCAAUAAGCUCUCAAACUUUCUCCAACUGCAGUUCCAAAGUAUCUCAGUGCUAUAGUGACCUGUAAAAUUUACCUAGUCCAGCUACCCAACUAUUACUUGGUCUCUCUCACAGCCUCUUCAACAAGUUGUCAUUCAGUAAUUACUAGAUAAUUUAUAGAGACAAGGCCAGAGUAACCACUAUUUCCAAAGGCAUUCAUUCCACCAACAUCUUGUACUAUGCCUUUCCAUGUUGGCAUGCCUCCCACUUCAAUAU